UACGGAGGGCGCAAGCGUUGUUCGGAAUCACUGGGCGUAAAGCGCGUGUAGGCGGCUUGGUAAGUCGGGUGUGAAAGCCCGGGGCUCAACCCCGGAACUGCACUCGAAACUGCCUCGCUCGAGUCCCGGAGAGGGUGGUGGAAUUCCCGGUGUAGAGGUGAAAUUCGUAGAUAUCGGGAGGAACACCAGUGGCGAAGGCGGCCACCUGGCCGGCGACUGACGCUGAGACGCGAAAGCGUGGGGAGCAAACAGG
rnacentral:rRNA from 1 species